UGGGGAAUAUUGCACAAUGGAGGGAACUCUGAUGCAGCGACGCCGCGUGAACGAAGAAGGCUUUCGAGUCGUAAAGUUCUUUUAUAUGGGAAGAUAAUGACGGUACCAUAAGAAAAAGCCCCGGCUAACUACGUGCCAGCAGCCGCGGUAAUACGUAGGGGGCUAGCGUUGUCCGGAAUCACUGGGCGUAAAGGGUUCGCAGGCGGAAAUGCAAGUCAGGUGUAAAAGGCAGUAGCUUAACUACUGUAAGCAUUUGAAACUGCAUAUCUUGGGAAGAGUAGAGGUAAGUGGAAUUUUUAGUGUAGCGGUGAAAUGCGUAGAUAUUAAAAAGAAUACCGGUGGCGAAGGCGGCUUACUGGGCUCAUUCUGACGCUGAGGAACGAAAGCGUAGGUAGCAAACAGG
rnacentral:rRNA from 1 species